AGCGAAGCAGUUAAGUUGAUUUCUUCGGAUUGAUUCUUGACUGACUGAGCGGCGGACGGGUGAGUAACGCGUGGGUGACCUGCCCCAUACCGGGGGAUAACAGCUGGAAACGGCUGCUAAUACCGCAUAAGCGCACAGAGCUGCAUGGCUCGGUGUGAAAAACUCCGGUGGUAUGGGAUGGGCCCGCGUCUGAUUAGGCAGUUGGCGGGGUAACGGCCCACCAAACCGACGAUCAGUAGCCGGCCUGAGAGGGCGACCGGCCACAUUGGGACUGAGACACGGCCCAAACUCCUACGGGAGGCAGCAGUGGGGAAUAUUGCACAAUGGGGGAAACCCUGAUGCAGCGACGCCGCGUGAGCGAAGAAGUAUUUCGGUAUGUAAAGCUCUAUCAGCAGGGAAGAUAAUGACGGUACCUGACUAAGAAGCCCCGGCUAACUACGUGCCAGCAGCCGCGGUAAUACGUAGGGGGCAAGCGUUAUCCGGAUUUACUGGGUGUAAAGGGAGCGUAGACGGCAAGGCAAGUCUGAUGUGAAAACCCAGGGCUUAACCCUGGGACUGCAUUGGAAACUGUCUGGCUCGAGUGCCGGAGAGGUAAGCGGAAUUCCUAGUGUAGCGGUGAAAUGCGUAGAUAUUAGGAAGAACACCAGUGGCGAAGGCG
rnacentral:rRNA from 1 species